AGUCAUAUGCUUGUCUCAAAGAUUAAGCCAUGCAUGUCUCAGUACAAGCCAAAUUAAGGUGAAACCGCGAAAGGCUCAUUAAAUCAGUUAUGGUUCCUUAGAUCGUACCCACAUUUACUUGGAUAACUGUGGUAAUUCUAGAGCUAAUACAUGCAAACAGAGCUCCGACCGGAGACGGAAGGAGCGCUUUUAUUAGAUCAAAACCAAUCGGUGGCGAGCUCGCUCGUCAUCGUACAACUUGGUGACUCUGAAUAACUUUAUGCUGAUCGCACGGUCUCGCACCGGCGACGCAUCUUUCAAAUGUCUGCCUUAUCAACUGUCGAUGGUAGGUUCUGCGCCUACCAUGGUUGUAACGGGUAACGGGGAAUCAGGGUUCGAUUCCGGAGAGGGAGCCUGAGAAACGGCUACCACAUCCAAGGAAGGCAGCAGGCGCGCAAAUUACCCACUCCCGGAACGGGGAGGUAGUGACGAAAAAUAACGAUACGGGACUCAUCCGAGGCCCCGUAAUCGGAAUGAGUACACUCUAAACCCUUUAACGAGGAUCAAUUGGAGGGCAAGUCUGGUGCCAGCAGCCGCGGUAAUUCCAGCUCCAAUAGCGUAUAUUAAAGUUGUUGCGGUUAAAAAGCUCGUAGUCGAAUCUGUGUUCCGCACCGCCGGUUCAUCGUACGCGGUGUUAACUGGCGUGCCGCGGAACGUCCUGCCGGUGGACUUAGCUCGCAAGGGCGGUCCAACUCAAUCCUGCCGCGGUGCUCUUCACUGAGUGUCGAGGUGGGCCGGCACGUUUACUUUGAACAAAUUAGAGUGCUUAAAGCAGGCUAAAACUUCGCCUGAAUACUGUGUGCAUGGAAUAAUGGAAUAGGACCUCGGUUCUAUUUUGUUGGUUUUCGGAACCCCGAGGUAAUGAUUAAUAGGAACGGAUGGGGGCAUUCGUAUUGCGACGUUAGAGGUGAAAUUCUUGGAUCGUCGCAAGACGGACAGAAGCGAAAGCAUUUGCCAAAAACGCUUUCAUUGAUCAAGAACGAAAGUUAGAGGUUCGAAGGCGAUCAGAUACCGCCCUAGUUCUAACCAUAAACGAUGCCAGCUAGCGAUCCGCCGACGUUCCUCCGAUGACUCGGCGGGCAGCUUACGGGAAACCAAAGCUUUUGGGUUCCGGGGGAAGUAUGGUUGCAAAGCUGAAACUUAAAGGAAUUGACGGAAGGGCACCACCAGGAGUGGAGCCUGCGGCUUAAUUUGACUCAACACGGGAAACCUCACCAGGCCCGGACACCGGAAGGAUUGACAGAUUGAGAGCUCUUUCUUGAUUCGGUGGGUGGUGGUGCAUGGCCGUUCUUAGU
rnacentral:rRNA from 1 species